rnacentral:rRNA from 1 species
UACGUAGGUGGCAAGCGUUGUCCGGAAUUACUGGGUGUAAAGGGAGCGCAGGCGGGAAGCCAAGUCAGCUGUGAAAACUACGGGCUUAACUUGUAGACUGCAGUUGAAACUGGUUUUCUUGAGUGAAGUAGAGGUUGGCGGAAUUCCGAGUGUAGCGGUGAAAUGCGUAGAUAUUCGGAGGAACACCGGUGGCGAAGGCGGCCAACUGGGCUUUAACUGACGCUGAGGCUCGAAAGCGUGGGGAGCGAACAGG